AGGACGAACGCUGGCGGCGUGCUUAACACAUGCAAGUCGAGCGGAAAGGCCCUUCGGGGUACUCGAGCGGCGAACGGGUGAGUAACACGUGAGUAACCUGCCCCUAGCUCCGGGAUAGCUCCGGGAAACCGGAAUUAAUACCGGAUGUGAUCACGGCCGACAUCGGCCACGAUGGAAAAGAUUUAUCGGCUAGGGAUGGGCUCGCGGCCUAUCAGCUUGUUGGUGGGUAAUCGGCCUACCAAGGCGACGACGGGUAG
rnacentral:rRNA from 1 species